rnacentral:hammerhead_ribozyme from 1 species
AUCCAUCUAACGAGUCCCAAAUAGGACGAAACAUAUGUCUUGAAU